ACGGAAGGCAGCAGUGGGGAAUAUUGGGCAAUGGGCGAAAGCCUGACCCAGCAACGCCGCGUGAAGGAAGAAGGUCUUCGGAUUGUAAACUUCUUUUAUGAGGGACGAAGGAAUUGACGGUACCUCAUUAAUAAGCCACGGCUAACUACGCGCCAGCAGCCGCGGUAAUACGUAGGUGGCAAGCGUUAUCCGGAUUUACUGGGUGUAAAGGGCGCGUAGGCGGGGAAGCAAGUCAGAUGUGAAAUCCAUGGGCUCAACUCGUGAACUGCAUUUGAAACUGUUUUUCUUGAGUGUCGGAGAGGUAGAUGGAAUUCCUAGUGUAGCGGUGAAAUGCGUAGAUAUUAGGAAGAACACCAGUGGCGAAGGCGAUCUACUGGACGAUAACUGACGCUGAGGCGCGAAAGCGUGGGGAGCAAACAGGAUUAGAUACCCUGGUA
rnacentral:rRNA from 1 species